rnacentral:rRNA from 1 species
UACAGAGGUCUCAAGCGUUGUUCGGAUUCAUUGGGCGUAAAGGGUGCGUAGGCGGCGCGGUAAGUCGGGUGUGAAAUCUUGGAGCUUAACUCCGAAACUGCAUUCGAUACUGCCGUGCUUGAGGACUGGAGAGGAGACUGGAAUUUACGGUGUAGCAGUGAAAUGCGUAGAUAUCGAGAGGAACACCAGUGGCGAAGGCGAGUCCCUGGACAACUCCUGACGCUGAGGCACGAAAGCUAGGGGAGCAAACAGG